GGAUGAACGCUGGCGGCGUGCCUAAUACAUGCAAGUCGAGCGAACAGACGAGGAGCUUGCUCCUCUGACGUUCGCGGCGGACGGGUGAGUAACACGUGGAUAACCUACCUAUAAGACUGGGAUAACUUCGGGAAACCGGAGCUAAUACCGGAUAAUAUAUUGAACCGCAUGGUUCAAUAGUGAAAGACGGUUUUGCUGUCACUUAUAGAUGGAUCCGCGCCGCAUUAGCUAGUUGGUAAGGUAACGGCUUACCAAGGCAACGAUGCGUAGCCGACCUGAGAGGGUGAUCGGCCACACUGGAACUGAGACACGGUCCAGACUCCUACGGGAGGCAGCAGUAGGGAAUCUUCCGCAAUGGGCGAAAGCCUGACGGAGCAACGCCGCGUGAGUGAUGAAGGUCUUCGGAUCGUAAAACUCUGUUAUUAGGGAAGAACAAAUGUGUAAGUAACUAUGCACGUCUUGACGGUACCUAAUCAGAAAGCCACGGCUAACUACGUG
rnacentral:rRNA from 1 species